ACGCUCGACACCUACGGGAGGCGGCAGUGGGGAAUAUUGCACAAUGGGGGAAACCCUGAUGCAGCGACGCCGCGUGGAGGAAGAAGGUCUUCGGAUUGUAAACUCCUGUUGUUGGGGAAAAAGAGGAUGGUACCCAACAAGGAAGUGACGGCUAACUACGUGCCAGCAGCCUGUAAUCUGAGGCGGGCUGGACGAAGGC
rnacentral:rRNA from 1 species